rnacentral:rRNA from 1 species
AUUGAACGCUGGCGGCAGGCCUAACACAUGCAAGUCGAGCGAGCGGCGGACGGGUGAGUAAUGUAUGGGGACUGCCCGAUAGAGGGGGAUUACUAAUAGAAACGGUGGCUAAUACAGCAUACUGUCGGACAACCCAUAGUGGAUUAGCUAGUAGGUAAGGUAAGGGCUUACCUAGGCGACGAUCCCUAGCUGGUCUGAGAGGAUGAUCAGCCACACUGUGACUGAGACACGGCCCAGACUCCUACGGAGGCAGCAGUGGGGAAUAUUGCACAAUGGGCGCAAGCCUGAUGCAGCCAUGCCGCGUGUAUGAAGAAGGCCUUAGGGUUGUAAAGUACUUUCAGUCGGGAGGCGUUACCGACAGAAGAAGCACCGGCUAACUCCGUGCCAGCAGCCGCGGUAAUAC